UACGUAGGGUCCGAGCGUUGUCCGGAAUUAUUGGGCGUAAAGGGCUCGUAGGCGGUUUGUCGCGUCGGGAGUGAAAACCUACAGCUUAACUGUGGGCUUGCUUUCGAUACGGGCAGACUUGAGGCAUGCAGGGGGAGAACGGAAUUCCUGGUGUAGCGGUGAAAUGACGCAGAUAUCAGGAGGAACACCGGUGGCGAAGGCGGUUCUCUGGGCAUGUUCUGACGCUGAGGAGCGAAAGUGUGGGGAGCGAACAGG
rnacentral:rRNA from 1 species